rnacentral:rRNA from 1 species
UACGUGAGGGGCUAGCGUUGUCCGGAAUCAUUGGGCGUAAAGAGCGUGUAGGCGGCCGGUAAGUCCGUUGUGAAAACUGGAGGCUCAACCUUCAGACGUCGAUGGAAACCGUGCGGCUAGAGUCCGGAAGAGGAGAGUGGAAUUCCUGGUGUAGCGGUGAAUGCGCAGAGUAUCAGGAAGAACACCCGUGGCGAAGGCGGCUGCUCUGGGACGGUACUGACGCUGAGACGCG